UACGUAGGGGGCGAGCGUUGUCCGGAAUCAUUGGGCGUAAAGGGUGCGUAGGCGGCUUCCUAAGUUUGAUGUGAAAUCCUGGGGCUCAACCCUGGAACUGCAUUGAAUACUGGGAGGCUAGAGUACUGGAGAGGAAACUGGAAUUUACGGUGUAGCAGUGAAAUGCGUAGAGAUCGUAAGGAAGACCAGUGGCGAAGGCGAGUUUCUGGACAGUUACUGACGCUGAGGCACGAAGGCCAGGGGAGCAAACGGG
rnacentral:rRNA from 1 species